UACAGGGGGGGCAAGCGUUGUUCGGAAUUACUGGGCGUAAAGGGCUCGUAGGCGGCCAACUAAGUCCGACGUGAAAUCCCAAAGCUUAACUUUGGAACUGCGUCGGAUACUGGAUGGCUUGAAUUCGGGAGAGGGAUGCAGAAUUCCAGGUGUAGCGGUGAAAUGCGUAGAUAUCUGGAGGAAUACCGGUGGCGAAGGCGGCAUCCUGGACCGACAUUGACGCUGAUGAGCGAAAGCGUGGGGAGCGAACAGG
rnacentral:rRNA from 1 species